rnacentral:rRNA from 1 species
GACGAACCGUGCAAACGUUGUUCGGAUUCACUGGGCUUAAAGGGUGCGUAGGCGGCCGGCUCAGUCGGCAGUGAAAUCCUCCGGCUCAACCGGAGCACGGCUGCCGAUACUGGCCGGCUCGAGCGAGGGAGAGGUGCGUGGAACUUGCGGUGGAGCGGUGAAAUGCGUUGAUAUCGCAGGGAACGCCGGUGGCGAAAGCGAUGCACUGGACCUCUGCUGACGCUGAGGCACGAAAGCUAGGGUAGCGAACGGG